rnacentral:lncRNA from 1 species
UCCAGUGACGUCACCCGUGGCCCCAGGAGCAGGAAGUGCCAGCCCUGCGGCUAGCGUGUGGCAGUGUUCGUGCCCUCCGUUCGAGUGCCUCUGCGGUGUCUCUACGGCAACGGCAGCGGCUACGGUGGCUUCGACGCCAGACUACCGGCAGGCGCCGGACCCGUGCAGUAUGGCGACCAUGAUGUCCUCGGCCAUAGAGAUGCAUGCGGACACGGUCUUCCAGGUCAUCGACAAGAUCCUCUCGGUCGACGGCAGGCCGCCAGAAAAUCGCCACAGCAGGCAACCGCCGGACGCGCCGCAGCCGCAGCCAGCGCUCACCGAAGCUGGAGAGGAGGACUACGUACUUACGUCGCUGGACGACCCAGAUAUUUCCCAGAGGUU